CAGUAGCCGCGGUAAUACGGAGGAUCCAAGCGUUAUCCGUAAUCAUUGGGUUUAAAGGGUCCGUAGGCGGUCUUGUAAGUCAGUGGUGAAAGCCCAUCGUUCAACGGUGGAACGGCCAUUGAUACUGCAGGACUUGAAUUAUUGGGAAGUAACUAGAAUAUGUAGUGUAGCGGUGAAAUGCUUAGAGAUUACAUGGAAUACCAAUUGCGAAGGCAGGUUACUACCAAUUGAUUGACGCUGAUGGACGAAAGCGUGGGUAGCGAACAGGAUUAGAUACCCCCGUAGUCCCUGUCUCUUAUAC
rnacentral:rRNA from 1 species